rnacentral:rRNA from 1 species
GACGAACGCUGGCGGCGUGCUUAACACAUGCGAGUCGAACGGAAAGGCCCUGCUUUUGUGGGGUGCUCGAGUGGCGAACGGGUGAGUAACACGUGAGUAACCUGCCCUUGACUUUGGGAUAACUUCAGGAAACUGGGGCUAAUACCGGAUAGGAGCUCCUGCUGCAUGGUGGGGGUUGGAAAGUUUCGGCGGUUGGGGAUGGACUCGCGGCUUAUCAGCUUGUUGGUGGGGUAGUGGCUUACCAAGGCUUUGACGGGUAGCCGGCCUGAGAGGGUGACCGGCGACAUCGACUCGAAGAUACGCCCGCGAGUCCUACGGGAGACAGCUGUGGGUAGACAUCCCACAUGGGCGCCCCCUCGACACAGCAGCGCGGUGUGUGGGUCGACUGCGUGCGGGUUCUCCCCCGCUCUCGCCUGUGAGGAAGAGUCCGGGGUGGUAAUGGCAAAAGAACCACCGCCUAACAACUUGCAGGCAGAUGCUGUAUAAGGCGACAAAGCCCACGUCUACC